AAUUUGAAGGAUAAAUUAAAUAGAAAUCCACAGAACAACAGCUCGACUCGGAACUAUGUAUCAACACACAGCCACCCGGUUGCCAUGACUCAGUGCUCACUCACUACAACUCAGCUGUACUACGACUUAAAACAGAACUCAAAGCAACAUAAACAGACUCUGGGCAACAACGCAGCAAAUCCAAAACAAACCCAGCAGAAAUGAACUCGAAUAUACACAACUCAGUACCAAAAACUAAACAGAGCAGAGACCACAGGAAAUCGACACAGCAAUGAGACCCAGCAAACAUAUAAAACGCAGUGGUACUCGACUAAAACAGCAACCGGAAGGAGUGAAAAGGAUUCAAAAAUGACUCGGUACUGUAGCCACAAACU
rnacentral:lncRNA from 1 species